CCCUUAGAUGUUCUGGGCCGCACGCGCGCUACACUGACGAAUGCAACGAGCUUAUAAUAACCUUGGCCGAAAGGUCUGGGUAAUCUCCAAAUUUCGUCGUGAUGGGGAUAGAUUAUUGCAAUUAUUAAUCUUCAACGAGGAAUGCCUAGUAAGCGCAAGUCAUCAGCUUGCGUUGAUUACGUCCCUGCCCUUUGUAUACACCGCCCGUCGCUCCUACCGAUUGAAUGGUCCGGUGAAGCGUUCGGACCGUGGCCUUUGGACGGUUCGCCGUCUGUUGGCUGCGGGAAGUUCGUUAAACCUUAUCAUUUAGAGGAAGGAGAAGUCGUAACA
rnacentral:rRNA from 1 species